GGGUAAAGGCCCACCAAGGCGACGAUCGGUAGCUGGUCUGAGAGGAUGAUCAGCCACACUGGGACUGAGACACGGCCCAGACUCCUACGGGAGGCAGCAGUGGGGAAUAUUGCACAAUGGGCGCAAGCCUGAUGCAGCGACGCCGCGUGAGGGAUGACGGCCUUCGGGUUGUAAACCUCUGUUAGCAGGGAAGAAGAGAGAUUGACGGUACCUGCAGAGAAAGCGCCGGCUAACUACGUGCCAGCAGCCGCGGUAAUACGUAGGGCGCGAGCGUUGUCCGGAAUUAUUGGGCGUAAAGAGCUUGUAGGCGGUUUGUCGCGUCUGCUGUGAAAGGCCGGAGCUUAACUCCGUGUAUUGCAGUGGGUACGGGCAGACUAGAGUGCAGUAGGGGAGACUGGAAUUCCUGGUGUAGCGGUGGAAUGCGCAGAUAUCAGGAGGAACACCGAUGGCGAAGGCAGGUCUCUGGGCUGUAACUGACGCUGAGAAGCGAAAGCAUGGGGAGCGAACAGGAUUAGAUACCCUGGUAGUCCAUGCCGUAAACGUUGGGCACUAGGUGUGGGGGACAUUCCACGUUUUCCGCGCCGUAGCUAACGCAUUAAGUGCCCCGCCUGGGGAGUACGGCCGCAAGGCUAAAACUCAAAGGAAUUGACGGC
rnacentral:rRNA from 1 species